rnacentral:rRNA from 1 species
CCGACGGUGAGAGGUGAAAGCUGGGGGAGCAAACCGGAUUAGAUACCCGGGUAGUCCCAGCCGUAAACGAUGUGCGUUAGGUGUAUCGGUGACCACGAGUCACCGAGGUGCCGAAGAGAAAUCGUGAAACGUACCGCCUGGGAAGUACGGUCGCAAGGCUGAAACUUAAAGGAAUUGGCGGGGGAGCACCACAACAGGUGGAGCCUGCGGUUUAAUCGGACUCAACGCCGGGAAACUCACCAGAUAAGACAGCUGAAUGAUAGUCGGGCUGAAGACUCUACUUGACUAGCUGAGAGGAGGUGCAUGGCCGUCGUCAGUUCGUACUGUGAAGCAUCCUGUUAAGUCAGGCAACGAGCGAGACCCACGCAACAGUUGCUA